CGUCCUAUUAGCUAGUUGGUGAGGUAAUGGCUCACCAAGGCUACGAUGGGUAGGGGUUCUUAGUGGAAGGUCCCCCACACUGGCACUGAGAUACGGGCCAGACUCCUACGGGAGGCAGCAGUAGGGAAUAUUGGUCAAUGGGCGCAAGCCUGAACCAGCCAUGCCGCGUGCAGGAUGAAGGCUCUCUGAGUUGUAAACUGCUUUUGUACAGGAGCAAGAAAAUCCCUGCGGGGGUUCUUGAGAGUACUGUAAGAAUAAGCACCGGCUAAUUCCGUGCCAGCAGCCGCGGUAAUACGGGAGGUGCAAGCGUUAUCCGGUUUUAUUGGGUUUAAAGGGUGCGUAGGCGGCUUAUCAAGUCAGUUGUGAAAUCCUAGUGCUUAACGCUAGAACUGCGAUUGAUACUAUU
rnacentral:rRNA from 1 species